GAGUCUGGUACUGAGACACGGACCAGACUCCUACGGGAGGCAGCAGUGAGGAAUAUUGGUCAAUGGGCACGAGCCUGAACCAGCCAAGUCGCGUGAAGGAUGACUGUCUUUAUUCCCCUACAAAGAAGUUUACAAUCCAUAAGACAGGUCGACGCGGCCGUACCAGGACUUGACAUGUCGCGAAUCCAGUGGAAACACAGGAGUGCCUUCGGGAGCGCGAACACAGGUGGUGCAUGGC
rnacentral:rRNA from 1 species